CAUGCAANUCGAACGGCAGCACGGAGAGCUUGCUCUCUGGUGGCGAGUGGCGAACGGGUGAGUAAUAUAUCGGAACGUGUCCAAUAAUGGGGGAUAACGAGUCGAAAGAUUCGCUAAUACCGCAUACGCCCUACGGGGGAAAGCAGGGGAUCGUAAGACCUUGCGUUAAUGGAGCGGCCGAUAUCUGAUUAGCUUGUUGGUGAGGUAAAGGCUCACCAAGGCGACGAUCAGUAGCUGGUUUGAGAGAACGACCAGCCACACUGGAACUGAGACACGGUCCAGACUCCUACGGGAGGCAGCAGUGGGGAAUUUUGGACAAUGGGGGCAACCCUGAUCCAGCCAUUCCGCGUGAGUGAAGAAGGCCUUCGGGUUGUAAAGCUCUUUCGCAAGGGAAGAAAACUUAUGAUCGAAUAACUCAUGACGUUGACGGUACCUUGAUAAGAAGCACCGGCUAACUACGUGCCAGCAGCCGCGGCAAUACGUAGGGUGCGAGCGUUACUCGUAAUUACUGGGCGUAUAGCGUGCGCAGG
rnacentral:rRNA from 1 species